rnacentral:rRNA from 1 species
GAUGAACGCUGGCGGCGUGCUUAACACAUGCAAGUCGAACGGAAAGGCUCCUGCUUGCAGGGGUACUCGAGCGGCGAACGGGUGAGUAACACGUGGGUGAUCUGCCCUGCACUUCGGGAUAAGCCUGGGAAACUGGGUCUAAUACCGGAUAGGACCACAUUUUGGAUGGUGUGGUGGAAAGUUUUUCGGUGUGGGAUGAGCUCGCGGCCUAUCAGCUUGUUGGUGGGGUAAUGGCCUACCAAGGCGUCGACGGGUAGCCGGCCUGAGAGGGUGUACGGCCACAUUGGGACUGAGAUACGGCCCAGACUCCUACGGGAGGCAGCAGUGGGGAAUAUUGCACAAUGGGCGCAAGCCUGAUGCAGCGACGCCGCGUGGGGGAUGACGGCCUUCGGGUUGUAAACUCCUUUCGCUAGGGACGAAGCGCAAGUGACGGUACCUGGAGAAGAAGCACCGGCUAACUACGUG